rnacentral:lncRNA from 1 species
CCGACGCCGGGUCGAGCGUGGCGCGACAUGCCGCCGCCAUGGUGCGGCUCGUGAGCAGCAGCGCCAUCCAGUCACCGGGAUGGGCGCGAAACAGACUCACGAUCCGACACACCAUUUCUGUCGGCAAAGCGUCGGUGAGCGCUGGGUGCUCGUCGCCAUCGGCGCAAUCCAUCGCACGCACUCCGUUGGUGCAAUUUGGCGUCUCCUUGCGUCCUAACGGCGCACCUUGGCGGUCAACGCGCGUCGGUUGUCUGACCUGGCGGCGUCCUCUCUCCCGCGAUCUCUGCUGCGGCCCGAGCGCGAUCGGCGGCGGCAGUGCAAAAAAGAAAGUCCAAGCGUACGCACGGACGGCUGCGAGGCGAAAAGGCAGGCGACGGCAGCGGCAGCGACACACCAAGAUGGAUCGGCAAUCGAUUUGGCAGACGGGCGAGCGAGCGAGCGCGAUCGAUCAGCCGGCGUCCUCCCUUUUGGCGUCGUGCGGGCUCGGUUUUUUCCCAGUCGGCCCCAUCAUUCAGCGUGCUGGGCGCACCAUGGCACCCGACGCGGCUCGUGACCCCCGGACGGGCGGGCGACAUCCCAGACGCUCGCGCGUGAUGAACCCUGGCUCACCCCUCCUCCCCUUGCCGUCUCGGCACUGCCACCCAAAUGUUUCCAUUGCCGACCCGCAUCGCCCCGCAGGACGAGAAAAAAACCUCGGCGUCGGUGCGACGCGCGCACGGCGGGCGGAUGCGGCGCGGACGAUCGUACAAGCGAGCCCUUUAGGUUUGCGUCCUGGCCUCGGCGCCCUUUCCUCCGCCGCCAACCCCCAUGUCGCGUCCUCCUUUUGAGCCUCCUUUGUUUUUUGGCGGUCGCACAUCCAAGGCACAGCCGACCGCCGCUGUUUUUUUUGUGGGACGCUCCAUGCCCUCUUUUUUUUGGCCCUCUGGAGCCACCGCCACGCUGCAGGAGCGCCCUUUGUUCGCC